UACGGAGGGGGCUAGCGUUGUUCGGAAUUACUGGGCGUAAAGCGCACGUAGGCGGCUUGGUAAGUUAGAGGUGAAAGCCUGGAGCUCAACUCCAGAAUUGCCUUUAAGACUGCCGAGCUAGCAGGUGAGAGAGGUGAGUGGAAUUCCGAGUGUAGAGGUGAAAUUCGUAGAUAUUCGGAAGAACACCAGUGGCGAAGGCGGCUCACUGGCUCAUACUGGACGCUGAGGUGCGAAAGCGUGGGAAGCAAACAGG
rnacentral:rRNA from 1 species